rnacentral:lncRNA from 1 species
UCAGACGGACCACCUGAUGAGAAGGACGGCCAGGCAUCUGAAAAUAGAGAGUAAUGCAAAAGGCAUUAGAGCUCUGGAGACAAAAUUGGGCAGCAUAACUGCUGUAAAUGCUCAAAAACAAUUUUGAGACAACCCACAAAAGAUAGGAUAGCAUAACCACUCAACUAUCAACUUGAAUUUCAUGGUCAUCAAAACUUACUUCCUUUUCCUUGGAACAAAACAAAAUCAGAGUAACUGUCUACUCGUUUUUCCUACAAUCUACCGAUUAGUAAUACACGAUCCUCAGAGAAAGAUAAGUAACCUAGUUCUUAAUCCCCGCAGAAAAGACGAGGAUGACCAUAAUAUAAUGACUUGAGAAGAGAAGAAAGAAUCUUAUGUUCCUUUCCACAAACAAUUCCCUUAUAUAUAACUAAAGCAAUUCUAGACUCAACGUCGACCAGUUUGGCUUGGUAAUCCUACAGUCAGUCAGGCUCUGAUACCAACGCUGUCGGGGCCCCGAUCCUAAGCCAUAGGAAUCCAGCAUGUAACACAUUGCACCCCUUUGCGGGCUCACGCACGGUUAUCCCCACGGCUGCCACCUUACCUUACCCAGGCCCGUUUGCACCUUUUGACUCACGUAUGCAAUGGUGUCGCUAGCAUUCCAAUGUCAAAAAACCCGGGUCGAUAUAUCUAGUCAUAAACUCAAGUGGCUCGACUGUACACACACAGGCAUACAUAACCCAGCAAAGCAGGUGUCGGUCAACAGCGAGUGUAGACGAGUCGUAGCAAGCUACAAGGACUCCAUUAAACCGCGUGACAUUUCCCCGAAGGGACAGACACAGCAGCUAAAAAGGAUACAUGCCGGUCAACCAAUGUGUCCGGAGCAGUAGCGAACUACCAAGGCUCGGUGGAAUCACAAAGGGACAUUUCUUUGUAUACAGAGCUACUAAGGCAUACGACUAGGUGUCGAAUCCCAUACAUAUCACAGUGCAUCACACGUACGCAUGACAUACUAGAUAUGCAUAGAUACAACAAGGGCAUCACAACAUAACCAUACAACAUCACGACAUUUAUUUAGAAGACUCGGAAGAGUCUUGGAUAAUAUGUUCAUACAAGCAGGGGUCACACGACCCGACACUCAAAGUCAUACAAACCAACGGAAGCAUAAAAGUUGUAUGAGUAUAGACAGUUGAAAGGAUAUGGCAUAAAGCCUGACUAUCUACAGAUCCCUUCUUAAAGGGGCCAGGUCGUAGCUGGGACACCAGCUACUCGUCAUCAUCGAUGUCUAGAAAGAACCCACCUGUUGGCUCGUGGGUAUUCUCUGCAACAAUUAUUAAGCAAACAUGAGUACAAGAGUACUCAGCAAGACUUUAGAACAGAUCUAUAUACUCAUGCUCAGGUACCAAUAAAAGGGGGUUGUAGUGUUUCAUGCAGCAAGCCAGCUUUGACUCUUGCCUAGGCUAAACUACAAUUUUAAAUAGUUUUAACAACUUUGAUUUCUCGCACACGAGUCCACUAACUCCACAACAAUACACCAUCAUGGAAUCAUUCCCGUCUUCCUACGGAAAUGCCAUCCAUGACACUCACACUUAUCUUGAUACUUUUAUGAGUAGCCAUUAAAGUUGUCUAUGAACAACAUAUGUCUCCAAGUAGUCCAUAUCCGCGAACGCGGCUAUUCGAAUAGAUCAUAACCCUGCAGGGGUGUACUUCUUCACACACGCUCUCGCCACUUAUCGCUAUGUGCACGUCAUGCACCUCGGAAACCUUCAAGCGGAAGCCCAGCGAGGGAGUCGGCCAUGACCGUUAACUAUGCUAAUACCUAGUCCAGGUUUAUCGCCUAUUUGAGAGUAACCCGCACGGAAGUCCGGCCGAGGUUUCUGCCACGGCCCCAAACGAUGUGCGCAGGGUUCCCAAGCCCACCAUCCGGGUGCCACUUGGUACACCGUGCCACUGCCUACCGCAUCAUAGCCCACCUCUAAGGUCAGCACUGUGCACGGCCUCCAGCAUGACUAUAAACACCGGAAACUACUUGCAACUCCUGGACCGAGUACUAGGCGAUUUAUAAGUCGAGAGGGUCAAUUAAGUAUCCCAGCGUGUGGUAGUAUGUAGUCUUGGAUUACAUACACGGAACUCAGUUCCUAAGGACGGUUCCAAUGAAACAAUCCGCCAUGUACUCCUACAUAGCCUUUCAUCGGUACCUUUACCAAAUCAGGUUCCACACUUAUUCUUUGUCACUAGAACACAUUCAUCCAUUCCCGUUCAUCACCCGGAUGAAACAUACCUGAACUCUAGGCAUAGCAUGCAUAACAGGAAUAACACAUCACAACUCAAGCAUCUACCAGGUAUGCUAGGUUGCAUGGUUUGGCUAUUUACUGUGACAACGAUAGGUCAUGCAAAGGAAUAGGUUCAACUACCGAAGUAAAGCAUUUGAAAUAGUGUGUCCUAAUGCGAUAAGUGGGAGCAGGAGCAAGAACAUGGGAUGAUAUCGGGAUGAUCAAAAGGGUGCAUGCCUUGUUGCUCAGCAGAGGGGUAAUAUCCGUUAGUCGAAUAUUCGGAUGUAUCCGGAGGGGCAGAGCCUACCGAAAUAACAACAUUCAAUUAAUAGCAAUCGUAUGCAACAAUCAUGAUGCAUGAUCAUGGCAUGAAAUGAAGAGUGAUAUGAUACAGUGUGGUUGGUAAAACCUUAGUUUGCAUCUGGUUUGAAAUCCAAAUUCAAAUAUCAUUUGAAAUAGGAUAUUAUCAAAUUACUUUAAUUGAUUUGACCUGAUGUUGUUUCAUAACUUUGUUUUCCACGCAUGAAUGUAGCACCAUUGUGUUCAUUGAUUUUUUUUAUCAAUUUGUAUAUAUUAUUUGUCAGAUUUGGAGUUGUGAUCAAUUUUCUAUGAAUUUCCAAAUUUUUGCAAUUAUUCUGGAAUUAUAUUAAUCAGAAUUAGAAUUAUUGCAUCGACAUGACAUCAGCAGGUCAGCUGGCCGUUUGAAAGUCAAACCUGAGUAAUGGGACCCAUUGGUUAGUGACUCUGGACAGAAAUUAGUUAAGUUUAAAUUUAAUUAGAUAUGUAACAGGGCUAGACCCACAUGUCACUGUAUGUUUAACUUAUAAUAUAAACAUUAUUUUUAUUUUAACUAAACUUAAUUAGCCAAGGGGUUGGCCCCACUUGCCAGUGACUUAGGGGAGUCAACCCCACCGGUGAUGGGGUCAAACCCACCAGCGGCGAGGCUCCAGCGACUCAGACUGGGCGUUCGGUUCCACCGAACCGAUCGGUGCGGUUCUUCGGUUUCUAUGGAGUUUCGGUUUUAACAAUUCGCUGACCGAUCACUCAACGAGUAGCUGACAAACCGCGGCUUCGGUGCACCGAUAAAUCGGUUCGGUCAUCGGUUCACACCGAACAACACCGAUAUACUAGUAGAAAAAGCAAGCAGCAACAAGAAUCUCUGCUACCGUACUUACACUACACAGUACCUUUAGGCUGUAGCACUGACUCCUAAAGUUAGGCUCCACGCCAGCUCACAUGCCCCUUUGUGCACAAAAUUUUAAAAUAAUAAAAAUUUAGAUAUGACUAGGGUGAGGGAUCCCUUUUGGCACAUCUCUGAGGAUUCACUAAUUAACCAUAAGCAGUAAUAACAAAUAAGUGAAAAAACUAAUAACAUGCUGCGAUUUAACCAGCAGAUCAGACAUAAGCAUACCAUAUCUAACUCAAAAUAUAACAUCCAAAAUAAUAGUUUAACACACGAACUAAACUCGCGCCCUCCAAUUGCAACUCAGACGCACUACUCUGACCUUGAAGCCAUCUGCUUACGGGUGUCCUUGUCAUUAUCCUCCUUCCCUGCUUUCGCUGCUUGCACCGUCUCAUCAGCGUGAUCGCUGCCAGCGGCCUUCUCGACAUCCAUAUGUACUAUAGCAGAUGCCAUUAGAGUUGAAGUAGGCACAACAGUGUUUGUCCUAAUGAUCUCUUAACCUCAGAUGACAUCUACAGCCAAACCAAGAUUCAUUGUCAACAAGUAUUCCACAUAAACAAAUCAAAGCACAUGGAAAUUGGAAGGAAUAGUAGUACAAUACUACUUCAACUCAAGAAUUUGAUUAUACACAUGAACAUAGUCCAAAUAUCUGGUGAGAAGAUUAUACACGCGAACAUAGUACAAAAAUUUAGGAAUAAUUUGUACUCCCUCCGUUCCAAAAUAAAUGUCGCAAAAGUUGUACUAAGUACAAAUUUUAUACUAGAUCAGCGACACUUAUUUCGGGCCGGAGGGAGUAGUACACAAGAAUACUUUAGGCUAAGAAUACAGUACUACAAAUCAACACAAGAAUCUGUGUAAUCCUCAACAGAAGAUUACUAUGUAUAAUCUUCUCAGCAGAUGGAUAGCAUUCUCAGCAAAUUCUCAGCAGAUGGAUAAUCUUCUCAGCAGAUGGAUAAUAUUCUCAGCGGAUGGCUAAUUUCUCAGCAGGAUCAACAAUUUCUUUGAAUUCCAUCGCGUUUCAUCUUUUAAGAUGGGGAAAAAUGAAGACAAGGGUCUAAACAGAGGACUGACCUUGCAGCCUUGCAGAAUCAUCCAAUGGGAGUAGAUACGUCGUCCGCAAGAGGGUGAUGGCAUGGUGUAAUCAAUGUUUCCGACGACGCUGCUAUGGAUCCGUCUCCACUCUCCAUCGAGCAGGCUAGGGUUCAGAGCUCCUCAUCCUCGCCGUCCCAGCGGGCGUUGCAGCAUAUAAGGAUGGGGCUGACCGGUUGAGCAUCGGGAACGGCAGGAAGGGACGGGAGGUGAAGCAUCGACCAUUAAAAUCCAUGCGGGAAGCGAGGAGGCGACCGGCGGCGGCUCGCUACCUAGGUACUCAUGAAUGCGGGUGCGGUCGUACGGUUGCGGGGGGUCGGGGGAUUAGUGAUCAGGCCAGAGUAGGUUAGUGCUCACAAGAAUAUGGGUCGGGCCUCUCUUUUUACUCGGUGUUUCGGUCAGUUCGGUUGACCGAGGGCUAAACCCG